rnacentral:lncRNA from 1 species
AAUGGUCCUUAUGUGUUAGUGUGUUUGCAAUUCUUUCUCAUUUGUUAGGAACAACAGUGAAUUUCAUGUUUUUUUUUUGAUAGAAAUGGUCUUCAAUUAUAGAUGUCUUUGCAACUCUAUCUAAGUUGUCAUUGAUUUUUGUGGGGGUCAGUUUAUGUCAUUUUGAACUUUCUUUUGUUUACACGUGUUAUUUUGAAUUUGCUUCACCGUUUUUACACCAUCUUUGCCUCCAAUGGGAUGCUUACACGACUCCUUCCCACCGCCUCACUACUUAGAUAGCUUUUCCACUACUGUGUCUUCCUUCGGUUUCCUAACCAUUCUUAUGUUAAUUCUUCAUUCAUCAUAAUCCUCAUCUUCACCGCCACCACCAUUUGCUCUGGCGUCUUCUUUUACGCCCUCGAUUCAAGCUGAUUCGCUUCCCAUUGUGUUGCCCUAAGUUUUCGGGAUCAGGGGUUUUUAGGGAACUUUAGCUCCAUCUGUCUACCUUUUGAUUGGAAAAAAAAAACCCACGAUGACUUGGGUCUGGAUUUCGAAAUUGAAGCAAUCCGAGGGGGUAUGAAAAACGUAGAAAAGGGAAAUUAACAAUGCGAGGGGGUAUGACAGACGACCACCAUCGUGUAUACAUAUUGGGCUUAGAGAAGGAAGUGGUGUCUCCAUCUUUCGUUGUGGUUCUACAACCCAUUUUGCCUUAAUCUUCAUAAAUCGAACGGCAACACCGCCACCAUGUCACUUUGAUUGGCUUUUAUCUGCCCACGAAGGUUUAUUUUCGAAUGCUUUAUUCCACAAAUCUUCCUCUUUAUGAAAAUUAGGGCUUUCAUCAAGAAAGUCGACGACUCAAUUUAAAGGGUCCUAAUUAGGUAUUUUGUUUUCCCAAAAUUAUCUCCUUUCUUGCAAUCCUUUCACCCUGCCUAAAUACAAACCAGGUUUGCAAGUCUAGAUGUAAUCAAAUUUGUGUCGGCAUAUCUUCAUCCCGAUGCCAGCUUCUUGGUAACUUGGUAACUUCUAAGUUCUAUCUGACAUUUGCAGGUUUUCCAUGUGUAUUAUGGAAAAUCAACACUUUCAGGAAGGCUGCUUCCGUUUUUUCUCAAUCCUCUCGAUCAAGGCUUCGAAGCCCCCGUUAAUCAGAAUCGAAAUCAACAUUUUUGUCCAUUCAAACUUCCAAUAUAUAUGUUGUCCACAUCAUGUUUCAAACCUGGAUUUGCAUGGAUUUUGCUAGGUAACCACUACCAUGACGUUGUUGCUCUUGCGAGACCUGGCUGUGAGAACAACUUUGUUCUGGAAAUGAUCCAGUUGUUAUUAUUAUUGUUUUUUUGCUCUUGAGCUUUCUAUAUGUGCAGAUUUGUGCAUUCGUCAUGCAUUGUACAGUGAUUUAUGUGAUUGCAAUAGUUUUCUUACUUGAUUAUUGUUUUAUAUUGAUGUUCUUCUAAAGCUGAUGGAAUUGUUAGGGUCGAAGUCUUUUUGUAAAGAGUUGAAGUGUAUUUGCUUUAUUUUGUAUGUAAUGUAUUUACUAAGUCGAUUUUAUGUUUGAAGCGUAACUCCUAGACUUAGUAUUUUUUGUACUCUCGGUUUCCUAUAAAUAGGAAGUGAACUUAGAAUUAGAUAACAAGUUUUCCAUGUAUGUUGUCUAUUUUUGUACUCUUGUUCAUUUGAGAGUCAUAUGAGCUAAAACCAGAUUCUAUUUACAUUCUAUGUUCUUGAUUGAUCUUUAGCGUGUUUAACUCUAAUCCUAUUCGAUUUCUCGUUACAAUUCUUCUUCACUAAGGUUAAGGUAUUAGACUUGGAUUGAGAUUGAAGGUUGAUAAAAUGAGUCAAAUUAAAUCUCAGAAAAUCAUUAUCAUACCCUAAACUGAAAUUCCUUAGCUCAAGCAUAUGAAAUAUGGAUAAUUUGAAUUUCAAGUGUAUAAUUUUUCACUUAUUUAAUACAUGAAAAGCUUUCAAUUUAAGUCAACAAGUUAGUAGUUACAUAUCAAAUGUUUUGUGAUCGUUCCUUUCCUAAUUAUCUUUGUACUUUUAUUACCAAUUGUUCACAUAACCUGAUGUUAUUCAGGAUUCUUAAGACCCUCCCAUGAAGUUUACAAGUUUU